rnacentral:rRNA from 1 species
UACGUAGGCAGCAAGCGUUGUUCGGAGUUACUGGGCGUAAAGGGUGCGUAGGCGGCUUUUUAAGUCUGGUGUGAAAUCUCCCGGCUCAACUGGGAGGGUGCGCCGGAUACUGAGGGGCUAGAGUGUGGGAGAGGAAAGUGGAAUUCCUGGUGUAGCGGUGAAAUGCGUAGAUAUCAGGAGGAACACCGGUGGUGUACACGGCUUUCUGGACCAUAACUGACGCUGAGGCACGAAAGCGUGGGUAGCAAACAGG